GACGAACGCUGGCGGCGUGCCUAAUACAUGCAAGUAGAACGCUGAAGAGAGGAGCUUGCUCUUCCUGGAUGAGUUGCGAACGGGUGAGUAACGCGUAGGUAACCUGCCUUGUAGCGGGGGAUAACUAUUGGAAACGAUAGCUAAUACCGCAUAACAAUGGAUGACCCAUGUCAUUUAUUUGAAAGGGGCAAAUGCUCCACUACAAGAUGGACCUGCGUUGUAUUAGCUAGUAGGUGAGGUAACGGCUCACCUAGGCGACGAUACAUAGCCGACCUGAGAGGGUGAUCGGCCACACUGGGACUGAGACACGGCCCAGACUCCUACGGGAGGCAGCAGUAGGGAAUCUUCGGCAAUGGGGGCAACCCUGACCGAGCAACGCCGCGUGAGUGAAGAAGGUUGUCGGAUCGUAAAGCUCUGUUGUAAGUCAAGAACGAGUGUGAGAGUGGAAAGUUCACACUGUGACGGUAGCUUACCAGAAAGGGACGGCUAACUACGUG
rnacentral:rRNA from 1 species